GUCUCUGUGGCGCAAUCGAUUUGCGCUUUCGGCUGUUAUCCGAAAAGUUGGUGGUUCAAGCCCACCCAGGGACG
rnacentral:tRNA from 1 species